AACGAACGCUGGCGGCAUGCCUAACACAUGCAAGUCGAACGAGACCUUCGGGUCUAGUGGCGCACGGGUGCGUAACGCGUGGGAACCUGCCCUUAGGUUCGGAAUAACUCCCCGAAAGGGGUGCUAAUACCGGAUAAUGUCUUCGGACCAAAGAUUUAUCGCCUUUGGAUGGGCCCGCGUUGGAUUAGCUAGUGGGUAGGGUAAAAGCCUACCAAGGCGACGAUCCAUAGCUGGUCUGAGAGGAUGAUCAGCCACACUGGGACUGAGACCCGGCCCAGACUCCUACGGGAGGCAGCAGUGGGGAAUAUUGGACAAUGGGCGAAAGCCUGAUCCAGCAAUGCCGCGUGAGUGAUGAAGGCCUUAGGGUUGUAAAGCUCUUUUACCCGGGAUGAUAAUGACAGUACCGGGAGAAUAAGCUCCGGCUAACUCCGUG
rnacentral:rRNA from 1 species